rfam:Homo sapiens chromosome 6, GRCh38 reference primary assembly.
GCCAGGCGUGGUGGCUCAUGCCUGUAAUCCCAGCACUUUGGGAGGCCGAGGUGGGUGGAUCACCUGAGGUCAGGAGUUUGAGACCAGCCUGGCCAACAUGGUGAAACCCCAUCUCUA